UAUUGGACAAUGGGGGAAACCCUUAUCCAGCGACGCCGCGUGAGGGAAGAAGGUUUUCGGAUUGUAAACCUCUGUCAGUGGGGACGAUAAUGACGGUACCCACGGAGGAAGCCACGGCUAACUACGUGCCAGCAGCCGCGGUAAUACGUAGGGGGCAAGCGUUAUCCGGAUUUACUGGGUGUAAAGGGAGCGUAGACGGCGACGCAAGUCUGGAGUGAAAGCCCGGGGCCCAACCCCGGGACUGCUUUGGAAACUGUGCUGCUGGAGUGCAGGAGAGGUAAGUGGAAUUCCUAGUGUAGCGGUGAAAUGCGUAGAUAUUAGGAAGAACACCAGUGGCGAAGGCGGCUUUCUGGACUGAAACUGACGCUGAGGCUCGAAAGCGUGGGGAGCGAACAG
rnacentral:rRNA from 1 species